AAAAAACCAGAAAAAAACACCAGUCUUUCAAACAGCAGACCAACUUCCACCAAAUUUUUUCAGCAUUCCUCCCAAUCUUCAAUUCAGCCAGGGACCAUUAAUCAAAAGAAGAAGAAUCAUCUUCACCUUCACUUGUAUCUUCACCUGCACCUUCAGAGUCUUCUGAGCUUCCAGAACUUCCAUUGGAUUGGGAUUUUGAUCUUGUAGUUGAGUCCUUCCCAG
rnacentral:lncRNA from 1 species